CCUACGGGAGGCAGCAGUAAGGAAUAUUGGUCAAUGGGCGCAAGCCUGAACCAGCCAUGCCGCGUGCAGGAUGAAGGCCUACGGAUUGUAAACUGCUUUUGUACGGGAAAUGGUACCGUGAGAAUAAGGAUCGGCUAACUCCGUGCCAGCAGCCGCGGUAAUACGGAGGAUCCAAGCGUUAUCCGGAUUCACUGGGUUUAAAGGGUGCGUAGGCGGAAUGACAAGUCAGUGGUGAAAACCUAUAGCUUAACUAUAGAACUGCCAUUGAUACUGUUAUUCUUGAGUGUAUUGGAUGUGAAUGGAAUGUGUCGUGUAGCGGUGAAAUGCUUAGAUAUGACACAGAACACCCAUUGCGAAGGCAGUUCACAACACACACUGACGCUGAGGCACGAAAGCGUGGGGAUCAAACAGGAUUAGAUACCCUUGUAGUC
rnacentral:rRNA from 1 species